UAGACUGGCUGAGUCUUCUGGCCUUCAUCUUUCUCCCAUGCUGGAUGCUUCCUGCCCUUGAACAUUGGACUGCAAGUUCUUUAGCUUUUGGACGUUUGGACUUACACCAGUGGUUUGCCAGGGGCUCUCAGACCUUCUGCCACAGACUGAAGGCUGCACUGUCAGCUUCCCUACUUUUGAGGUUUUGGUACUCAGACUGGCUUUCUUGCUCCGCAGCUUGCAGGCGGCGUUAUGGGACUUUACCUUGUGGAUCGUAAUCAAGAAAAACUUUUUUUUAAGCUACUUGUAGCUUUUCACAAUUGAGUAAGAUAUACUCCUGUAAACAAAAUUUGGAGCACAUUUGUUUCUCUCUACCUGAUUUCUCCAGAAUUUGGAAACUAGUUGACAACUUUGUGCCCUGUCUCCCAGUUUAACAUGGACCUUUCAGUCUGUAAUGCAGAGGAUCCUCUAGAGCAUAACUCCACAAGGCAGAAGACAAGUUUACUGUGGACAAAAAAAAUGGGCUAGAAUGUCUUCAGCUUCUCAGGCCCUUAAUAGGGCUGAUGAUGGAUGACUCUACUGGAGAAAAGGAAGACAAAGAGGUUUCAGAUCAUCAAUAAAGCAGCUGACUCUAAAGAAACGGCUAGAAAUCAUAUUUAAAGUCAAUCUUAAAUGAAUUUGAAAAAAAUACACAUAAAGAUCAUUACCUGCCUCAUUUGGACAUAUCAGACCUAUG
rnacentral:lncRNA from 1 species